GAGAUAAAACCAACAGCAGAGGACAUCUUAAUAGCAUCAACAGAACCUGUAUCCCGCAUAGAGAAUGCGGGGAGGGACAGCUUAAGUAACAGAGGAUCAGGCUCCAAAAUUCUUUAACUAACCAAAAAGAGCAACUGUUACUGUACUGCAAGUGAGAGUAACAGACGUGCAGAGAGCGAGCGAGAGCGAGAGGGAGAGAGAGAGAGACUCUGCCCACAAAGUCGUGAUUCCGCCUGCCGCCUGCCGCCACCGCCUGGACCAGCGUUCACUUUCAAAAUCAGUGAAAUGUAACCAAAAAAACAAUAAAAAAGAAGAGUGAAUUGA
rnacentral:sRNA from 1 species